CCAAUAGCGUAUAUUAAGGUUGCUGCGGUUAAAAAGCUCGUAGUUGAAUUUCAGGAUUGAUACAUCGGUCGUGCCUUAAGGGGUAUGAACUGGCGUAGCCAACUCUUCACCUUCUGGUGAUUUGUGAUGCCUCCUUAACUGGGUGUUUCAAUGAAUUAGGACUUUUACUUUGAAAAAAUUAGUGUGUUUAAAGCAGGCAU
rnacentral:rRNA from 2 species